UUCAUGACAACAGAAGCCACAGAUAUCCUCCUCAUCAAAAACAUGACUUUGAUCUCCGUCCUCAUCUGGACUCUCCUCUGCUGCUGCUUCACAGAGUCCAGAGGCCAGAUCACAGUGACUCAGCCUGCAGCAGUGAGAUCUGAUCUGAAAGGAUCUGCAACCAUCAACUGUAAGACCAGUCAGGAUGUUUAUUAUGGUUGGGGCUACGACGCUUUAGCCUGGUACCAACAGAGAGAUGGAGAAACUCCUAAACUUCUCAUUUACGCUGCUAACCGUCUAGUAUCAGGGAUUCCAGAUCGUUUUUCAGGCAGUGGAUCAAACUCUGACUUCACUCUGACCAUCAGUGGAGUUCACGCUGAAGAUGCAGCAGUUUAUUACUGUCAGAGUCGUCAUGAUAUCAACAGUCAGCUUGUAUUCACACAGUGA